rnacentral:rRNA from 1 species
AAACAUGGUGGUUUGUUUAUUAAUUUAACAUCGGGCCUGCCCACUGAAAUUGAAGGGCCGCAGUAUAUUGACUGUGCAAAGGUAGCAUAAUCAUUAGGUUCUUAAUUAGGAUCUGGUAUGAAGGGUUUGACGAAAUACUAACUGUCUCUGCUUAAUAGAUUUAAGUUAACUUUUUAGUAAAAAGGCUAAUAUUUUGAUGAGGGACGAGAAGACCCUAUAGAGCUUGAUACUUAUUUUGUAAUAUCUGGUUGGAUUUUGGGAAGUUGUUACUAAAUUAAUUGUUUUACUGGGGCGGUAUAAAGAUAAUUCUAACUCUUGUUUUGUAUAUAAAAAUGAUUAGUUAAUUGAAUCAUUGUAAUUGAUUUUAGAUAAAGUUACCUUAGGGAUAACAGCGUAAUUUGUUUGGAGAGUUCAUAUUGAUAAACGUGUUUGCGACCUCGAUGUUGAAUUAAGAUUUCAAGGGAAUGGAGCAGUUUCUGUUGAGAGUCUGUUCGACUCUAAAAUUCUUACGUGAUCUGAG